rnacentral:rRNA from 1 species
UACAGAGGGUGCGAGCGUUAAUCGGAAUUAUUGGGCGUAAAGGGCGCGUAGGUGGAUAGAUAAGUCCUGUGUGAAAGCCCUGGGCUUAACCUAGGAACGGCACAGGAUACUGUUAUGUCUAGAGUGAAGUAGAGGGUAGCGGAAUUUCCGGUGUAGCGGUGAAAUGCGUAGAUAUCGGAAAGAACACCGGUGGCGAAGGCGGCUACCUGGACUUUGACUGACACUGAGGCGCGAAAGCGUGGGGAGCGAACAGG